rnacentral:rRNA from 1 species
GCAACCCCUAUCGAUAGUUGCCAGCGGGUUAAGCCGGGAACUCUAUCGAGACUGCCAGCGCAAGCUGCGAGGAAGGCGGGGAUGACGUCAAAUCAGCACGGCCCUUACGUCUGGGGCGACACACGUGUUACAAUGGCCGGUACAGAGGGCAGCCACCCCGCGAGGGGGCGCGAAUCUCCAAAGCCGGUCGUAGUUCGGAUCGGAGGCUGAAACCCGCCUCCGUGAAGCUGGAUUCGCUAGUAAUCGCAUAUCAGCCAUGAUGCGGUGAAUACGUUCCCGGGCCUUGUACACACCGCCCGUCAAACCAUGGGAGCUGGGGGGACCUGAAGUGCGCGACCGCAAGGAGCGCCCUAGGGUAAAACCGGUGACUGGGGUUAAGUCGUAACAAGGUAACCAAGGGC